UCCGUUUGUGUGCCUGGUCUCGGGUGAGUUAUUAUACAAGAUAAGAUGACGAUGAGGGAGUCUUUGAUCAAAAAAGGUCAUUGGUUUUUCUCCGACUGACGGCUAAAAGGCUUCCAAUCUGUGGAGUUUUUGAAAGCACAUCGUUUUCAAGUUGCACAUAUAUCCGCUCUUCUCUGCCUCGGGGAAUCAUAUUCUAGGAACUUCAAGAUUGUUUAUCACUUCAUCUGACAUCACGAGGUUCAUUGCUUUUA